rnacentral:rRNA from 1 species
AUUGAACGCUAGCGGGAUGCCUUACACAUGCAAGUCGAACGGAGUGGCGAACGGGUGAGUAAUUUAUCGGAACGUGCCCAGUAGCGGGGGAUAACUACGCGAAAGCGUAGCUAAUACCGCAUACUCUUGGAGCGGCCGAUAGCGGAUUAGCUAGUUGGUGGGGUAACGGCUCACCAAGGCGACGAUCCGUAGCUGGUUUGAGAGGACGACCAGCCACACUGGGACUGAGACACGGCCCAGACUCCUACGGGAGGCAGCAGUGGGGAAUUUUGGACAAUGGGGGAAAGCCUGAUGCAGCCAUGCCGCGUGUGCGAUGAAGGCCUUAGGGUUGUAAAGCACUUUCAGCAGGGAAGCGGUACCUGCAGAAGAAGCACCGGCUAACUACGUGCCAGCCGCCGCGGUAAUUC